GCUUACACAUGCAAGUCGAGCGGUAACAUUUCUAGCUUGCUAGAAGAUGACGAGCGGCGGACGGGUGAGUAACGCGUAGGAAUCUGCCUAGUAGUGGGGGACAACAUGUGGAAACGCAUGCUAAUACCGCAUACGCCCUACGGGGGAAAGGAGGGGAUCUUCGGACCUUUCGCUAUUAGAUGAGCCUGCGUGAGAUUAGCUAGUUGGUGGGGUAAAGGCCUACCAAGGCGACGAUCUCUAGCUGGUCUGAGAGGAUGAUCAGCCACACUGGGACUGAGACACGGCCCAGACUCCUACGGGAGGCAGCAGUGGGGAAUAUUGGACAAUGGGCGCAAGCCUGAUCCAGCCAUGCCGCGUGUGUGAAGAAGGCCUUAGGGUUGUAAAGCACUUUCAGGAGUGAGGAAGGGCGUAUAGUUAAUACCUGUAUGUUUUGACGUUAACUCCAGAAGAAGCACCGGCUAACUCUGUGCCAGCAGCCGCGGUAAUACAGAGGGUGCGAGCGUUAAUCGGAAUUACUGGGCGUAAAGCGCGCGUAGGCGGUUUGUUAAGUCGGAUGUGAAAUCCCAGGGCUCAACCUUGGAAUGGCACCCGAUACUGGCAG
rnacentral:rRNA from 1 species